rnacentral:rRNA from 1 species
AGUGAACGCUGGCGGUAGGCCUAACACAUGCAAGUCGAACGGCAGCACAGUAAGAGCUCGCUCUUACGGGUGGCGAGUGGCGGACGGGUGAGGAAUACAUCGGAAUCUACUUUUUCGUGGGGGCUAACGCAGGGAAACUUACGCCAAUACCGCAUACGACCUACGGGUGAAAGCAGGGGAUCUUCGGACCUUGCGCGAUCCAAUGAGCCGAUGUCGGAUUAGCUAGUUGGCGGGGUAAAGGCCCACCAAGGCGACGAUCCGUAGCUGGUCUGAGAGGAUGAUCAGCCACACUGGAACUGAGACACGGUCCAGACUCCUACGGGAGGCAGCAGUGGGGAAUAUUGGACAAUGGGCGCAAGCCUGAUCCAGCCAUGCCGCGUGGGUGAAGAAGGCCUUCGGGUUGUAAAGCCCUUUUGUUGGGAAAGAAAAGCAGCAGGUUAAUACCCCGCUGUUCUGACGGUACCCAAAGAAUAAGCACCGGCUAACUUCGUG